GUUUCUGGAUUUAGCUUUUAUGUCAAAACUGUUCCAAAGAUUCAUGUUCAGUGAUGGAUGGAAGUGUUCACAGAUCAGAUCAUAACAUUUUUUUCUCUUUUACUCUCUCUGUUCUAGGGUGAAAAUGGGAAAAUUUACUGUGAUAAUCUCUGUUUUAUGGCAGAUGGUAAAAAAUGCUGGGAAUCAGACACUGAAGAACUGGCCACUACAGGAAGAAACAUUGAAACAUCUCAUUCAUGAGUGGGAUCAAAUUUGCUUAACGCCUGCCAAGCCUCCACCAGGAAAGGAAUUGCCAACAGCCACUGGAGUUAAAGAUGAAGAUUUGAGCGAGCAUGGGAAAAUGCAGGGAGGCAGCAGAGGAAGCAGCUGUGGUGGCUGAAAGAGGACCAACACAAGCCACAGGAGAAUGCUAAUAAUGUCUUCCCCACCUCCCCACCAAAGUGUUUGACCAAGCACUCAGGCUAAAGCUAGACUCCUGCAAAAUGACAGGCCAGUAAAAGGCCUGUUGAAAGACCAUUAUUUUCUCCCACUGAUGCACUAUAAAAGCCUGAAAUUUUAGAUUUCUUUAGAUGUCUUGAGUGUCUAAACAAGCUAAGAAAGUUUUCCUGAGGUGGUCUCUCGAGUACACAAAGAGCAUUUGAGGUUCCCAAGUGCUUGGUUAAGUUGCUACCUUUGAGCAGUGAUGAAAUCAGACCAAAAGGCUACUGAAAGCUUUGCUUUACAGUUGUUUGCUUGUCAUCAAGGUGGAGUCAGCAACUCAAAGACAAAAUGUUCACCGCUAAUUAGAAAAGGAUUAUGACAAACUGACAUGUUUUUGUAGCUGGGAAAAGGCUGCAUAUGUGGCCUUGUAAUUAUUCUUACAACGAAAUCAUAUAGCAAUCAGUGGCAGCAUGCCUCCUGCUUUUCAAUACUGUCAAAUACAGCUUCAGAAUCUCCAAAUCUUUGCUCCUCCCUCUCCCUCCCUUUUUUCCCCUUUUUUACCCAGAAGUAGCAUUGGACUAUCUGUGCAUCUAAAGGCCUGGCACUGAAACAUCCCCUCCAGAUAAUUUUAUAUCUGGAAAAGCAGAUAGCUCAGCCCUGAAAACUGAGGCAUAGCCAGCCCAGAGAAAUGUUAGAAAAAAUAUAUAAUUCUUGUCUCCCUGUGUUAGAGGGUACCUUCUGUUAAGGUACCCUCUAACUUUACCAGACAAACAGUUAUACAGCUAAGAACAGAUAUGAUACAUGAUUUUCAGAUAUAGAACAUUUGGUUUAAUUACAGGAUACAAAUAAUUUUUCUCAGGUUCUCUGACAACCUGAAUUCUGUACACUAGAAAAUUUAUAUAAACAUCUUAUUUCUGUCAUCUGUACUUUGCUUACAUGCUCUCUGAUCCUUCUAACUAGUAUCAGAAGGGCUGCUGACUCUGUGUGCUCCUCCUCUCCUUGUUAUCAGGAAUAGUUUGAAUGAAACUCCAAGGAAUUCAAGAUAUUUGGUAACUAUAUAUUUUUUAUAAGUUAAUUCUGCAGCCAUUGAACAUAAUCAAAAUGCAGGCUUUAUUAUUUAUCGCUCAGGCAAAGAUUUAAUAAAUGUAACUUUCUGCAUCA
ensembl:lncRNA